rnacentral:rRNA from 1 species
UAUAAUGGGUCAGCGACUUAUAUUCUGUAGCAAGGUUAACCGUAUAGGGGAGCCGCAGGGAAACCGAGUCUUAACUGGGCGUUAAGUUGCAGGGUAUAGACCCGAAACCCGGUGAUCUAGCCAUGGGCAGGUUGAAGGUUGGGUAACACUAACUGGAGGACCGAACCGACUAAUGUUGAAAAAUUAGCGGAUGACUUGUGGCUGGGGGUGAAAGGCCAAUCAAACCGGGAGAUAGCUGGUUCUCCCCGAAAGCUAUUUAGGUAGCGCCUCGUGAAUUCAUCUUCGGGGGUAGAGCACUGUUUCGGCUAGGGGGUCAUCCCGACUUACCAACCCGAUGCAAACUACGAAUACCGAAGAAUGUUAUCACGGGAGACACACGGCGGGUGCUAACGUCCGUCGUGAAGAGGGAAACAACCCAGACCGCCAGCUAAGGUCCCAAAGUCAUGGUUAAGUGGGAAACGAUGUGGGAAGGCACAGACAGCCAGGAUGUUGGCUUAGAAGCAGCCAUCAUUUAAAGAAAGCGUAAUAGCUCACUGGUCGAGUCGGCCUGCGCGGAAGAUGUAACGGGGCUAAACCAUGCACCGAAGCUGCGGCAGCGACACUAUGUGUUGUUGGGUAGGGGAGCGUUCUGUAAGCCUGCGAAGGUGACCUGUGAGGGUUGCUGGAGGUAUCAGAAGUGCGAAUGCUGACAUAAGUAACGAUAAAGCGGGUGAAAAGCCCGCUCGC